rnacentral:rRNA from 1 species
CCAUGGCUCAGGACGAACGCUGGCGGCGUGCCUAAUACAUGCAAGUCGAGCGAACAGAAGGGAGCUUGCUCCCGGAUGUUAGCGGCGGACGGGUGAGUAACACGUGGGUAACCUGCCUGUAAGACUGGGAUAACUCCGGGAAACCGGAGCUAAUACCGGAUAGUUCCUUGAACCGCAUGGUUCAAGGAUGAAAGACGGUUUCGGCUGUCACUUACAGAUGGACCCGCGGCGCAUUAGCUAGUUGGUGGGGUAAUGGCUCACCAAGGCGACGAUGCGUAGCCGACCUGAGAGGGUGAUCGGCCACACUGGGACUGAGACACGGCCCAGACUCCUACGGGAGGCAGCAGUAGGGAAUCUUCCGCAAUGGACGAAAGUCUGACGGAGCAACGCCGCGUGAGUGAUGAAGGUUUUCGGAUCGUAAAGCUCUGUUGUUAGGGAAGAACAAGUGCGAGAGUAACUGCUCGCACCUUGACGGUACCUAACC